rnacentral:rRNA from 1 species
GACGAACGCUGGCGGCGUGCUUAACACAUGCAAGUCGAACGGAAAGGCCCUGCUUUUGUGGGGUGCUCGAGUGGCGAACGGGUGAGUAACACGUGAGUAACCUGCCCUUGACUUUGGGAUAACUUCAGGAAACUGGGGCUAAUAUCGGAUAGGAGCUCCUGCUGCAUGGUGGGGGUUGGAAAGUUUCGGCGGUUGGGGAUGGACUCUCGGCUUAUCAGCUUGUUGGUGGGGUAGUGGCUUACCAAGGCUUUGACGGGUAGCCGGCCUGAGAGGGUGACCGGCCACAUUGGGACUGAGAUACGGCCCAGACUCCUACGGGAGGCAGCAGUGGGGAAUAUUGCACAAUGGGCGGAAGCCUGAUGCAGCAACGCCGCGUGCGGGAUGACGGCCUUCGGGUUGUAAACCGCUUUCGCCUGUGACGAAGCGUGAGUGACGGUAAUGGGUAAAGAAGCACCGGCUAACUACGUG